UCUUACAGGCUAGGAUACCUGCAGCUCAUGGCUCCUGUGGCACUGCCCUGGGCCAUGCAUGACAUGACGGGGACGCUGCGCACCCGGAGCCUGCUGCGGAGGCAGCUGUGCCCUGCGGCAGGCUGUUGGGGAGUGGUGACUGGGCCUGGAGGUUAUGUCUCAGGAGGAGUUGCAAGCCUGAGACUGGGGCUGUUCAUUUUUUCCCCCUCCUCUCCCCUUCCAUAUGGGGAAGAAUAAAAUGAAGAAACAACAUUUUCAGAGAAGAAAGACUUGGAAAGAGUUGCUGUUUUCUGGGAGUCUGCUACAGCUGUUAAUUUGUGGAAAACCUCAGUGGAAAGUAAGCAAUAUGGCAGCAUCACUUUACAGGAGAAUUCAGAAAUGGCCUUGUUCCAAACCAUGGCUGAUUUAGGUCUUGGCUUGCACAGCCAAAGCUUCAUGUAGUGUCAUGCUUUUUUAUAGAUAAUGUUGAUGCAGCUGUGGAAGGCUCUGAUGUUCAUUUUUUCAACGUGGAAUUGUCGUCAUUCAAUCAAGCUUAAGUGUUGUGGAGCUGUGAUGUUGUUUGUCUUUGCUUGUUAGAUGUUGGCGGGUGAGUUUGAGACAGGCUGAGAUGUUGUUUGGGAAAGAAGAAAAGGCACCCUCCCUUCCUCCUUGCCUUCUUCACAGCAAUGCACACAGACCAAAACUCCCAUCCAAGCAGUCAGGAACUCUGAAAAAAUUCAGAGCUGGACUUAAGCUCUGUGGGCUGGGACCCCUCUGCCUCUCCAAAGCGCGCACACUCUUCUCUUCCUGUAAACUUUGUUCCUCUCCAGCAUUUGUCAUGCGUACUUGAUGGCAUAUCAAGAUUUUAAAUACUGUACCGAGUGCAGGAACCUCUUUUUCUUGGAUGGACAUUUUGUUUGCAGAGAAUGCAGCAUGGUGCUCAGUUGUCUGGGCAGAAAUGAACACUGAGGAACAUUUCAACUAUGUGACACCCAUUAGAUCAGAGAUUAGUUUUCCACUAGAAAUGGCCAAUUAUUUAAACCUCUGCAGUAGAGGAAAGGGCUUUUGACAACCUGUUUUGCUGGAAAAUGCUGCAAUUCAUUUGGGAUAGAUUAGAUGAUCUAUUAGAUAUUAGAAAAGGGGGAAAGGGUUUCUAUUUAAUGUUAGUCCAGUGGUUAACUUGGGGAACAUCAGUGAGCACUAGCACAAAAAAACUCCUUCAGGUAUUUCUGUGAUUGCUAUUAACAUUUAUACUGCAACUGUGGCCUUCUGUCAGGCAGGAAGCCAUGUGCAGAGUGUUGCACAAAUACUGAGUUGCACUUGGUUGCUGGGGCGAGAAACUCAAGCUUCCCAUUCCUAGGGCAUGCAUUGAUGCACACUGGACUCGCUGCUUCUUCUAGGCUCUUUUGUGAUUGGGAUUUUCCAGAUUUUUUUCCAGUGCUGUCAUGUCACAUAAUGACUGAUUUGCUUGCCUCCUUAUCUCUGAGCCAUAUGACUUGCUUUGAUUGUAUCUCCCUUGCCAACUUGGCUAGAUAUCUUGCUUCUUUUCCUGAGGGUGGAUUAGGGAAGAAUCCUUGGAUCCUUGGAGUUUCCUGUAGCAUCUGGAAAGAAGAGGAAAACCAGAGAUGGGCCAGAAGGAGGCAGGCAGAGAAAGAUGAAAGAAUUUGGAGGUGGGAAGAAUUCACUUUUGGAAUGAAGCUUCCUCCUGCCUGGCCUAAGGCAGAGCAAUUUACACUUUUUUGCUACACGCAGAAUGGCCCAGCUCCUCCUCUUAGGAGCAAAAAUUUCAGAGGUGCCUGAGGGUUCCCCUAUUUAUAUUUUUAUGAGCUGCUUAGUCUCCUUUGAAUCUCAAGCCAUAUCCCCAUUGCCAAUACCUGAGCUAGCUUGAAGUGAGGUAGUGUCUCGUGGCAAGACCUGAGCUGGCUUCAGAAAGUUUAGCUUCUAGAAGAAGUUUACCCACAGUUUACCUCUGCAUAUGUCAGAGUACCUGCCUGCCACAAUACCUUAGCCUCUGCCAAGUGCUGUUUAAAGCUGCCUCAGUAGCUGGUAAUCAGCACUCAGUAGUGUCUGUGCAGCAGCCUGUGAUGCAGACACACCACAGGCUGCAGUAAAGACCUCUGCUGAAAUCCAGGUCUCUCCGCAGUCACCCGCUGCGGCUUGAGAACAUAAAUGCCAGAUGUCACUGCAGAGCAUGGGGUUUAGAAGCUGAAGUCACUUAGGUGCUUUUGAAAACCUUAUAUGGCUGAACCACAUUCCCUAUUAGCACUGUUAAAUGCUUUCCUGUUUUUCUCUUUCCCCUUGAACUCACACUGCAGUCCUAACCAGCUAUCGUGUUUUGUUUUUAAUGACAGAGCGAAGGUGCCAAAAUAUUUCAGUAGCUCCCCUAGGAACAUCUGCAACUUCUUUAGCUAAUAUUUUCACAGCUGGCCAUAACUUUAUUUUAUUUUUGAAUGUUAAUAGUACAAAAUCUGGGAUCCUGAAGGAGAACAAUGGCUAAUUUCCCUUGUAUCAGAAUUUAGAAGAUACAAAAAGGCUACACCAGCUCCUUUGAAUAAAUGCCUAAGAACAGAGCCAUGGGGGAGAUUGUCAUUUGAAAGACAAUGUUGCUCAGAUCAAGAGGGACUGUGUUAGUUUUUCACUUUAUUUUCUUAAAUAAAGGGUGGUUGACAGAGGAAAAACUUGAUCUGGAUCCAGACAGAGCUUUAGAUCAACCUUCGGAUUAAGGAUAAAGUUUGCAUCUGUAGCCACCGGGAGCAAAACAUAUGCACAAUUCAAAUGAUAGAGCUGAUGAUGAUGAGAUUCAUGCUACCAGUGUUGCAGAAGCUUGAUCUGAUCGCUGCUUCCAGCACACUUUCUAUCAUCUUUGAUGAAGAUGAGAAGGGUAAAAUGUCAUAGAUCUAAUCUGCUACCAAAUUCUUGGAAAAGGAAUUAAGUCUGGGAAUCUGAACUUCAACCCACAAAAAUUCAGAGGACCUUUAAUUACAGCUCUGAUUUAUAACCCGCUAGCUAUGUUUAGUUGGUCAAAAAGUGAAAAUAAACUGAAGGUAUUUAGUCGAUCGAUUGACUGAUAUGAGUCAACCGAUCAUUUGCUUGCAUUCUUUGCGCUACAUCUCUCCCUUCCCUAUACUUGACUUACCAUGGUAUAAAAAAAAAAAAAAAAAAAAAAAAAAAAAAAAAAAAAGAACAAAA